rnacentral:rRNA from 1 species
AUUGAACGCUGGCGGCAUGCCUUACACAUGCAAGUUGAACGGUAACAGGUCUUCGGAUGCUGACGAGUGGCGAACGGGUGAGCAAUACAUCGGAACGUGCCUAGUAGUGGGGGAUAACUACUCGAAAGAGUGGCUAAUACCGCAUGAGAUCUACGGAUGAAAGCAGGGGAUCGCAAGACCUUGUGCUACUAGAGCGGCCGAUGGAAGAUUAGGGAGUUGGUGGGAUAAAAGCUUACCAAGCCGACGAGCUGUAGCUGGUCUGAGAGGACGAGUAGCCACACUGGGACUGAGAAACGGCACAGACUCCUACGGGAGGCAGAAGUGGGGAAUUUUGGACAAUGGGCGCAAGCCUGAUCCAGCAAUGCCGCGUGCAGGAUGAAGGCCUUCGGGUUGUAAACUGCUUUUGUACGGAACGAGAAGCCCUGGGUUAAUACCCUGGGGUCAUGACGGUACCGUAAGAAUAAGCACCGGCUAACUACGUGCCAGCCGCCGCAGUAACAC